GACGAACGCUGGCGGCGUGCCUAAUACAUGCAAGUGGGACGCAAGGAAACACACUGUGCUUGCACACCGUGUAUUCUUGAGUUGCGAACGGGUGAGUAACGCGUAGGUAACCUGCCUACUAGCGGGGGAUAACUAUUGGAAACGAUAGCUAAUACCGCAUCAUAUUCAUUAUUGCAUGAUAAUUGAUUGAAAGAUGCAAGCGCAUCCCUAGUAGAUGGUUCUGCGUUGUAUUAGCUAGUUGGUAAGGUAAGAGCUUACCAAGGCGACGAUACAUAGCCGACCGGAGAGGGGGAUAGGCCACACGGGGACUGGAACGCGGCCCAGACUCCUACGGGAGGCAGCAGUAGGGAAUCUUCGGCAAUGGACGAAAGUCUGACCGAGCAACGCCGCGUGAGUGAAGAAGGUUUUCGGAUCGUAAAGCUCUGUUGUAAGUCAAGAACGUGUGUGAGAGUGGAAAGUUCACACAGUGACGGUAGCUGACCAGAAAGGGACGGCUAACUACGUG
rnacentral:rRNA from 1 species